rnacentral:lncRNA from 1 species
CAUCUCCCACUCUACAGGCCUCUCCCCCGCGCGCUGGGGCCUCCCGUUCCCGCGUGUGAGCGAACCUCUUAGGAGGUUUGCUUUCCUUCUGGGCGAGGCUGAGCGACGUUGCCAAGACCAACACGAACUUCUCUGGACAGCAGACCAGGGUGCGAACAGCAGCCCUGCCGCUUCCUAGCCUGUGACAUUCGCCAGAGUUCCGUAGUCCCUCAGCCUCAUCGCCCCAUCCAUAAAAUGGGAAAGCGAACCGUAAAAAGAAUGUGACCAAGCACGGGACCUCUGUUUGUCAUUGAAUAGAAAAGUACCCACGACACUCUGGUACCUACAAAAGACGUCCGCCCACUGGAGCGUUCGUCAGCCCAUCUGAUCCAUGUCACUCGACACAUACAGCACGGAGUGCUGUGCUGGGCACAGGCGUGCGGGCUGGUGAACCAUUCAUGGGACGUAAACCCACACAGACCUGGUGCAGACCUCAGCUUCUUCUGUGCCUGUAGAUUUGAUCUUGGGCGUGUCAGCCACUUAUCCCUCUGAACCAACUCCUUCUCUUGAGCUCCCCAUCUCAGCCAUGGCAUCAUCAUCAUCCCCUUCCUGUGCCAGCUCAGAACCUAGGAAUGGUUUUAUUCUCCGCAUUAACCCUCUCCCUAAUGUCCCAUCAACCCCGAGUGAUGCAUGAGUCAGCUCCUAGAUCUGUCUUGAAUGUGUCUUCAGCGUCCUCUCCAAUCCAUUCAACAGGUAUUCAUAGAGAGCCUGCUCUGUCCCAGGCUCUCUGCUGGACAAGAGCACCUGUCCCCAAGGAGCUCCCUGACUGGUUGGGUACACCCAGAAACAUCCACUUUUCCU